rnacentral:sRNA from 1 species
GCCAGGUGCUGUGGUGCUCGCCUAUAAUCCCAGCAACUUGGGAGGUUGAGAUAGGAGGAUCAUGAGUUCAAAGCCAGCCUCAGCAAAAGCAAGGCCCUAAGCAACUCAGUGAGACCCUGUCUCUA